rnacentral:tRNA from 1 species
GGAGGGAUGGCUGAGCGGCUUAAGGUGCCCGUCUUGAAAACGGAUGUCGGUUUGAAGCCGACCAGGGGUUCAAAUCCCCUUCCCUCCG